rnacentral:rRNA from 1 species
UCCACCAGGACCAUCUGGUAAGGCUAAAUACUCCUCUGUGACCGAUAGUGAACCAGUACCGUGAGGGAAAGGUGAAAAGAACCCCGGGAGGGGAGUGAAAGAGAACCUGAAACCCUGCACUUACAAGCUGUAGGAGCACAUUAUUUGUGUGACUGCGUACUUUUUGUAGAACGGGCCAACGAGUUACGUUACCUAGCAAGGUUAAGCACUUAAGGUGUGGAGCCGCAGCGAAAGCGAGUCUUAACUGGGCGUAUAGUUAGUUGACGUAGACCCGAAACCGGGCGACCUAUCCAUGGGCAGGUUGAAGCGAAAGUAAAAUUUCGUGGAGGACCGAACCCACGUACGUUGAAAAGUGCGGGGAUGACUUGUGGAUAGCGGUGAAAUUCCAAUCGAGCCUGGAGAUAGCUGGUUCUCCCCGAAAUAGCUUUAGGGCUAGCCUCAAGCUUAGAGAAACGGAGGUAGAGCACUGAAUGUCCUAGGGGGUAUUGCACUUACCGAAGACUAUCAAACUCCGAAUGCCGUAUUCUUUUGCUUGGGAGUCAGACUAUGGGUGAUAAGAUUCAUAGUCAAGAGGGCAACAGCCCAGAUCGUCAGCUAAGGUCCCUAAAUGUAAGUUAAGUGGUAAAGGAUGUGGGAUUGCACAGACAACCAGGAUGUUGGCUUAGAAGCAGCCACUCAUUUAAAGAGUGCGUAAUAGCUCACUGGUCGAGUGAUCCUGCGCCGAAAAUUUCCGGGGCUAAAACGUACUACCGAAGCUACGGCAUCAUUUAUGAUGGGUAGGAGAGCUUUCUAUACGGAUUGAAGCAUUACCGUAAGGAGAUGUGGACUGUAUAGAAGUGAGAAUGUUGGCAUGAGUAGCGAGAUGUGGGUGAGAAUCCCACAGGCCGUAAACCCAAGGUUUCCAGGGGAAGGUUCGUCCGCCCUGGGUUAGUCAGGACCUAAGCCGAGGCCGAAAGGCGUAGGUGAUGGACAACAGGUUGAUAUUCCUGUACCACCAAUAACCGUUUGAGAAAUGGGAUGACACAGUAGGAUAAGCUAACCGCACUGUUGGUUAUGUGCGGGCAAGUAUUGAGGCAGUUCCGAUAGGCAAAUCCGUCGGAAUAAUGCUGGGGUACGAUGCGGAGCGAAAUUUAGUAGCGAAGUAGCUGAUUUCACACUGUCGAGAAAAGUCUCUAUCGAGGUUAAAGGUGCCUGUACCGCAAACCGACACAGGUGGGUGAGGAGAGUAUCCUAAGGCCAGCGAGAGAACUGUUGUUAAGGAACUCGGCAAAAUGACCCCGUAACUUAGGGAGAAGGGGUGCCUUCGAAAGAAGGCCGCAGAGAAUAGGCCCAAGCGACUGUUUACCAAAAACAUAGGUUUCUGCUAAGUCGCAAGACGAUGUAUAGGAGCUGACGCCUGCCCGGUGCUGGAAGGUUAAGGGGAUCUGUUAGAGCAAUCGAAGCAGUGAACUUAAGCCCCAGUAAACGGCGGCCGUAACUAUAACGGUCCUAAGGUAGCGAAAUUCCUUGUCGGGUAAGUUCCGACCCGCACGAAAGGCGUAACGAUUUGGGCACUGUCUCAACAACAGACUCGGUGAAAUUGUAAUACCGGUGAAGAUGCCGGUUACCUGCGACAGGACGGAAAGACCCCAUGGAGCUUUACUGUAGCUUGACAUUGAGUCUCGGUGCUACAUGUACAGGAUAGGUGGGAGACUAUGAAGCAUGGACGUCAGUCUGUGUGGAGUCAUCCUUGGGAUACCACCCUUGUAGUACUGGGAUUCUAACCAGAGGCCAUGAAUCUGGUCUUGGGACACUGUCAGGUGGACAGUUUGACUGGGGCGGUCGCCUCCCAAAAAGUAACGGAGGCGCUCAAAGGUUCUCUCAGUACGGUCGGAAAUCGUACGAAGAGUGUAAAGGCAAAAGAGAGCUUGAUUGCAAGACAUACAGGUCGAGCAAGGACGAAAGUCGGACUUAGUGAUCCGGUGGUUCCGCAUGGAAGGGCCAUCGCUCAACGGAUAAAAGCUACCCUGGGGAUAACAGGCUGAUCUCCCCCAAGAGUCCACAUCGACGGGGAGGUUUGGCACCUCGAUGUCGGCUCAUCACAUCCUGGGGCUGUAGUAGGUCCCAAGGGUUGGGCUGUUCGCCCAUUAAAGUGGUACGCGAGCUGGGUUCAGAACGUCGUGAGACAGUUCGGUCCCUAUCCGUCGCAGGCGUAGGAAAUUUGAGGAGACCUGUCCUUAGUACGAGAGGACCGGGAUGGACGUACCGCUGGUGUACCAGUUGUUCUGCCAAGGGCAUAGCUGGGUAGCUAAGUACGGAAAGGAUAAGCGCUGAAAGCAUCUAAGCGCGAAGCCUACUUCGA